rnacentral:tRNA from 1 species
CAGGGAGACAACAAAAUGUUUAAUAUUAUUAUUUUGUCACCUUAGGUCGAUCGGUAUCUCACAUUCUUAAUUUAUUAAGGAUUUUAUUUCCUAAGUUUUUUCUAGGUCACACCCAUUACUUUUCCUGGGCCAUUAGCUCAGGUGGUUAGAGCGCACCCCUGAUAAGGGUGAGGUCCCUGGUUCAAGUCCAGGAUGGCCCAUAUCUCUAUGUUGGGGGUAUAGCUCAGUUGGUAGAGCGCCUGCUUUGCAAGCAGGAUGUCAGCGGUUCGAGUCCGCUUACCUCCACUGAUUACCACCUCUUCCAUAAUUAUUUAAGGAAAUGUUUUGAGUAGUGAUCAAAUUCUGAACGAAUCUAGCUUCCUAAUGAAUUCAUUAAGAUGCUGGACUCAUUGAAUUAUUUUCAUUGUUUUCAGAGAACCUUGACAACUGCAUAGAUUAUUUUUAAAGACAAUAAGCAUCUUUAUGAUGCAGAUUUAUUAUUUGUGCGAAUGCAUUAAUAACAAUUCUAUUAAGCUGAUGCUUCAAUUAUGAAGUUAUU